rnacentral:rRNA from 1 species
UAACAUGAGAGUUUGAUCCUGGCUCAGGAUGAACGCUGGCGGCGUGCCUAACACAUGCAAGUCGAACGAGGUAAAUAAGAUGAAGUUUUCGGAUGAAUUCUUAUUUACCGAGUGGCGGACGGGUGAGUAACGCGUGGGUAACCUGCCUCAUACAGGGGGAUAACGAUUGGAAACGAUUGCUAAUACCGCAUAAGCGCACAGUACCACAUGGUACGGUGUGAAAAACUCCGGUGGUAUGAGAUGGACCCGCGUCUGAUUAGCUAGUUGGUGGGGUAACGGCCCACCAAGGCGACGAUCAGUAGCCGACCUGAGAGG